CCUACGGGAGGCUGCAGUAGGGAAUCUUCGGCAAUGGGGGCAACCCUGACCGAGCAACGCCGCGUGAGUGAAGAAGGUUUUCGGAUCGUAAAGCUCUGUUGUAAGUCAAGAACGAGUGUGAGAGUGGAAAGUUCACACUGUGACGGUAGCUUACCAGAAAGGGACGGCUAACUACGUGCCAGCAGCCGCGGUAAUACGUAGGUCCCGAGCGUUGUCCGGAUUUAUUGGGCGUAAAGCGAGCGCAGGCGGUUUGAUAAGUCUGAAGUUAAAGGCUGUGGCUCAACCAUAGUUCGCUUUGGAAACUGUCAAACUUGAGUGCAGAAGGGGAGAGUGGAAUUCCAUGUGUAGCGGUGAAAUGCGUAGAUAUAUGGAGGAACACCGGUGGCGAAAGCGGCUCUCUGGUCUGUAACUGACGCUGAGGCUCGAAAGCGUGGGGAGCG
rnacentral:rRNA from 1 species